CCUACGCGUGGCUGCAGUAGGGAAUAUUGCUCAAUGGGGGAAACCCUGAAGCAGCAACGCCGCGUGGAGGAUGAAGGUUUUCGGAUUGUCAACUCCUUUUGUUAGAGAAGAUAAUGACGGUAUCUAACGAAUAAGCACCGGCUAACUCCGUGCCAGCAGCCGCGGUAAUACGGAGGGUGCAAGCGUUACUCGGAAUCACUGGGCGUAAAGAGCGCGUAGGCGGGAUAGCAAGUCAGAUGUGAAAUCCUAUGGCUUAACCAUAGAAAUGCAUGUGAAACUGUUAUUCUAGAGUAUGGGAGAGGUAGGUGGAAUUCUUGGUGUAGGGGUAAAAUCCGUAGAGAUCAAGAGGAAUACUCAUUGCGAAGGCGACCGGCUAGAACAUAACUGACGCUGAUGCGCGAAAGCGUGGGGAGCAAACAGGAUUAGAUACCCGUGUAGGC
rnacentral:rRNA from 1 species